rnacentral:rRNA from 1 species
UACAGAGGGUGCAAGCGUUGUUCGGAUUCACUGGGCGUAAAGGGUGCGUAGGCGGUCGGGUAAGUCUGAUGUGAAAUCUCACAGCUUAACUGUGAAACUGCAUUGGAUACUAUCCGGCUAGAGGAAUGGAGGGGAGACUGGAAUACUUGGUGUAGCAGUGAAAUGCGUAGAUAUCGGGAGGAACACCUGUGGCGAAAGCGGCUCACUGGACCACAACUGACGCUGAGGCGCGAAAGCUAGGGGAGCAAACAGG